rnacentral:rRNA from 11 species
UGUUUCGGCUAGGGGGCCAUCCCGGCUUACCAACCCGAUGCAAACUGCGAAUACCGGAGAAUGUUAUCACGGGAGACACACGGCGGGUGCUAACGUCCGUCGUGAAGAGGGAAACAACCCAGACCGCCAGCUAAGGUCCCAAAGUCAUGGUUAAGUGGGAAACGAUGUGGGAAGGCCCAGACAGCCAGGAUGUUGGCUUAGAAGCAGCCAUCAUUUAAAGAAAGCGUAAUAGCUCACUGGUCGAGUCGGCCUGCGCGGAAGAUGUAACGGGGCUAAACCAUGCACCGAAGCUGCGGCAGCGACGCUGAUGCGUUGUUGGGUAGGGGAGCGUUCUGUAAGCCUGCGAAGGUGGCCUGUGAGGGUUGCUGGAGGUAUCAGAAGUGCGAAUGCUGACAUAAGUAACGAUAAAGCGGGUGAAAAGCCCGCUCGCCGGAAGACCAAGGGUUCCUGUCCAACGUUAAUCGGGGCAGGGUGAGUCGACCCCUAAGGCGAGGCCGAAAGGCGUAGUCGAUGGGAAACGGGUUAAUAUUCCCGUACUUGGUGUUACUGCGAAGGGGGGACGGAGAAGGCUAUGUUGGCCGGGCGACGGUU